rnacentral:lncRNA from 10 species
AAAGUCCACAUGUAAGCCACAAGGAUUUUUUUUUUUACUUUUACCUAGCUCUUUUAUGUUUUAAUUUUCACAUUAAUUCUUAUGCAGAAAUGUGAGGGACUCAUGAAAACAUGUCACACAAUACUUUCCUCUUAUAGUAGACAAGUGAGUCUGUAUGCACAUGGGGUACUGGAUGAAAUACUUUAUCAAAACUGGUCAGAAAUUCAGACAAAAAUUUAAUUCAAUCAAACAACUGCAUGUAAUAAAUAAUAUUUUCGUGUGGCUACCAGUGACUCACAAGUCCAGCUGCUUCAAAAAACAUCCUAAUUCUCUAGCCCCAUCACAGUUCAAUUCAAUAUAAUCUGUGGGGAGGGGCCUGGCCUCA